GUUAUUUGGUAGUUAUUUAUGGUAGUUACUGUCUGAUAUUAUUGCAUGCUAUUUUAGUUAUGGUUCUUAUGUUUAGAUAGUUAUUUAUGCUGGGGUUAUUAAUGCUUCUUUGUUUUUGUUUUUGUUUUUGUUUUUAUUUUUCCUUCACUGAGCCGAGGGUCGAUUGGAAACAGCCUCUCUGCCCUUUCGGAUAGGGGUAAGGCCCGUCUACAUAUUACCCUCCCCAGAUCCCACUUUGUG
rnacentral:lncRNA from 1 species